GCCUGGAUGGCUCAGUUGGUUAGAGCGCAGGUCUCAUAUGUCGAUAUGACCGUCAAUGGACGGGUAAUCCUGAGGUCGUGAGUUCGAUCCUCACUCCGGGCA